CUGUGUUUGCCUUGGCCGGUUGCUGUGUUUGCAUCUCAAAAUGCAGUGGUCACAGUUAGAGAGUUAAUGAGGCAAUAGAUGCUCUUCUGGGUAAUUCAACUCUCAGUGAAGGUGAAGCAUCAGCUCAGGCUGUCUACAACCUCGUUUGUCUGGAGGGAAUGCUAGUGGGCCACCUGCUCCCGUGAGUGUUCUACUAUCCUGGGGGAAUUUGUGGUCCCUUCACCUGGGCAGCGACGCGUGUCUCCAAGAGCAUUUGCCCGAACCUUCUGCAUGCAGCUGUCUGUCUCAGGGUCUGUCUGGGGACCCUGACUUCAGACACGCCGAGGAAACACAUGCUGCAUCAUCAGCCUGGGUACCAGCACCCUCCGUGGGAGUACAUCAUGAGAAACGCUGGGCUGGAUGAAGUACAAGCUGGAAUCCAGAUUGCUGAGAGAAAUAUCAAUACCCUCAGAUAUGCAGUUGACACCACCCUUAUGGCAGAAAGUGAAGAACUAAAGAGCCUCUUGAUGAAAGUGAAAGAGGAGAGUGAAAAAUUGUCUUAAAACUCAACAUUCAGAAAACUAAGAUCAUGGCAUCUGGUCCCAUCACUUCAUGGCAAAUAGAUGGGGAACAGUGGAAACAGUGGCCGACUUUAUUUUUUUGGGCUCCAAAAUCACUGCAGAUGGUGAUUGCAGCCAUGAAAUUAAAAGAUGCUUACUCCUUGGAAGAAAGCACUCCUUGGAGAAUGCUUACUCCUUGGACCAACCUAGACAGCGUAUUACAAAUCUGAGACAUUACUUUGCCAGCAAAGGUCUGUCUCAUCAAGGCUAUGGUUUUUCUAGUGGUCAUGUAUGGAUGUGAGUUGGACUAUAAAGAAGGCUUUAUGCUGAAGAAUUGAUGCCUUUGAACUGUGAUGUUGAAUAAGACUCUUGAGAGUCCCUUGGACUGCAAGGAGAUCCAACCAGUCCAUCCUAAAGGAGAUCAGUCCUGAGUGUUCAUUGGAAGGAUUGAUGCUGAAGCUGAAACUCCAAUCCUUUGGCCACCUGAUGCGAAGAGCUGACUCAUUUGAAAAGACCCUGAUGAUGGGAAAGAUUGAAGGCAGGAGGAGAAGGGGAUGACAUACAUGAGAUGGAUGGAUGGCAUCACUGACUCAAUGGAGAUGAGUUUGAGUAAACUCUGGGAGUUGGUGAUGGACAGGGAGGCCUGGUGUGCUGCAGUCCAUGGGGUUACAAAGAGUCAGACAGGAUGGAGUGACUGAACUGAACUGAACUUUCUUCUCUCAACCUUGAGGCCACCCUCAGGGGCUGCUUGAAGAACCAGUUUGUGGUGAGCUCAUGACAUCUCCAAGGCCAGGAAGCUGGCCUAGAAGCGAAGAGUAAUCAUUCCUGGGAUUUUGCAACUUCUGUUGACCUUCUCCAUGGUCACAAGGCAUUCCACUUUUUGCUAGACUUUUUGUUCCUUCCCUCACUCGGGCUCUUUUCUGGUACAAUUGUUGUCCAAUGCUUGGAUUGGAAUGUCCCAGGGAGACGAUAAGUAAUAAAUUAACAUAUUCUGAGUGCUGUUGGUAUGAUAAGCUAAGAUUUAGGCUAUAUACAUCCCAACACCUCUAGGGUGUGCUGCCCAGGGAGGAUACCUAACUUGCCCCGUUUACCGCAGGUGGAGGAAAGUUUCAGGAGGUUGCCCGAGGUGACCGCGAGUCAGGGCUGGGCAUUGAGCCCAACAGCCAGGCUCUGCAGUCCACUUUCUGGGGGACCCUUGAUGGCUCCAUCAUUCUGGGUGUGCCAAGUCACCUUAGUCGUGUCCAACUCUCUGGGGCCCCACGGACUGUAGACCGCCAGGCUCCUCUGUCCAUGGGAUUCUCCAGGUGAGAAUACUGGAGUGGGUUGCCAUGCUCUCCUGCAGGGGAUCUCCCUGACCUAGGGAUCGAACCUGCAUUUCUUACGCCUCCUGCAUUGCCAGGCGGGUUCUUACCACUAGCCUGGCCUUCUGGAUAGUGUAAUAUUUUUCAAAGCGCACCAGGUCACCUGGGUUAUAAUCUCAGUUCUGCUCUGUACUUUCUGGGUGAGCUCCAGAGAAUCACCCAGCUCCCUUGGGCCUUAGUGAAACAAGGCAGCUUGUCUUGGAGAUUCCCACUGGCUGGGGGAUUCUAAAAUCCCUUUUCUUCCCCCCACCAGUUCAAUUGUCUUCUCCCAUCCCAUCUUCUCAUUCUUGACAUAGAAAAGUGAAAAUGAAAGUGUUAGUUGCUCAGUCAUGUCCAGCUCUUUGAGACCCCUGUAGCCUGCCAGACUCUUUAGUCCAUGGAAUUCUCCAGGCAAGAAUACUAGAGUGGGUAACCAUUCCCUUCUCCAGGGAAUCUUCCUGACCCAGGGAUUGAACCCUGGUCUCUACAUUGUAGGCAGAUUUACCAUCUGAGACACUUGGAAAGCCUAUAGAACACUGGUGGUAUUUGGGGAGAAAGGAUAGUUUCCUGGUGCAAAGAAAACUUCAAUGUCUACUUCCUUUCAGGAUGAGGUGAUCAGUUGGUUUGCCACUGGUGCCGACUCUUUAAAUAUGCUUAUUACUGGUAUGAGCACCUUGAUCAGCAAAGAAACCCUGUGGGUCCAGCAAGCAUAAGAAGGCAGGUUGGUAAGUGUUAUUCUCUCAUGAGCUGUGAGAACUAAUAGGGAACUUGAUACCAUUUAACAGCCUCUCCAAGGUCAAGACAGUUAAUUGCUGCUGUUUUGAUUUCUUCCUGGUGUUGGGGAAUGUUAACUGAUUAGCAUCUGCUACUCUAAGUCUUUGUACCACGCUUAGAAUUUCCUUUAAGGGGCAAUCAAAAAAAGAUCUCCACGUGCUGGCCGUGGAAUGCAGUUUAGCCACCAGCUUGGCCAGUGAUGGCAGUGUGGCAUCCUUCUCAGGGGCCUGUGGCCUAGCUUUGGCCUGAGACCUUGUUUUCCCUCAAGAGGUACAUAUCUUAUGGGUAACAUUCCAAGGUGGUAUGCAUGAGUUUUCCCCACAGGUGUGGGGUUAUAUAACUCUUAAUAGAGAAACUGUUAUUAAGAGCAGGUUUGCUUAGAGCAAGCAGGAGAGUUUCUCAUUUUCUCAUUUCUCUUUUUGGCAAAAGUGCUAAAAAAUAUCCAGUAUUGGGACCACUCUAGUGGUCCAGCAGGUAAGACUUUGCACUCCCACUGCAGGGGGCAUGAGUUCAAUCCCUGGUUGGGGAACUAAGAUCCUGCGUGUUGAGUGGUAUGGCUAGAAACAACAACAGGAAAUAUCCAAGAUCCAAUAUCUUUACUCCCUUUCCAUCUUCUUUUAAAUCCACUCCCGUGGAGCUUUCUCCUCCUUAACCCCAUGAAAUCCUUCUUCUCAAGGGACCUCCAUGCUGUCAGAUCAUGUGGUCCGUUCUCUCUCCUGUUUGGCUUGACUGUCAGCUCCUUUUACCUUCUGAGGGCCUGGAGGGACUUCCCACACACAGGGGGUGUGCACUGAGCUUGGAGGAUUCACCACCUUGGCAGCAAGAGGAAUCAGCCUGCUGUUUGUGGAGAGACGUUAGUCCACCCUGAAGAUGGCUUGCUGUGAUUACAGCCAGAGAAACGGUCUUGGGAAAGAGCGGUGAGACCACCAGUACAUUUGGCGAGAGGGUGCAGGACACCCUGGCCAGGGCCUACUGCCUCUUCCAACAGUGUUAUGCAAAGGUGAGCCUUUUCCAGUUCUCGAGUCUGAGUCGCCAGUCUGGCCCUAACCACUGAUCCCUGGCAAGUAUACCAACAUUAAUACACACCUCAGGAUAUAUGGCAAGUUGAGUGAGGCCCAUAGGCCCUCAUUAUGUGUGUACUCAGUUGCUCAGUCAUGUGUGACUCUUCCCGACCCCAUGGACUGUAGCCCACAAGGCUCUUCUGUCCACGGGAUUCUUCAGGCAAGAAUACUGGAGUGGGUAGCCCAGGGAUUGAAUGCUUGCAUCUUCUGCAUGGGGAGGUGGGUUCUUUAUCACUGUGCCACCUGGGGAGUCCCCUUAUCUUGGUAAUGUUUUUAAAUCCAGAAAAUAAAGUAAAAAUACACAGGACUGCAGAAGACAAACACUAUUGAAACUCAGUUCUAUUGGUUUCUUGUUGCUGCUGUAACCAAUUAACAUGAACUCGACGGCUUAGAACAACACAGAUUUAUCUCAGCGUUGGGGAGGACAGACACCCAGCAAGGCUGCAACUUUUCUGGAGCUCCUAGGGGAGAACGUUCCCUAGAUGUUUCUAGUUGUUGGAAGUCGCCUGCCCUCCGGGGCUCCUGGCUCCUUCCUCUGUCUUGAAAGCCGGCAGUUCCCCUGCUUCCAUCUUUGCUUCCAUCUUUGUUGUCACAUGGCCCCUCUGGUUCUGCUCUCUGUUGUCCUCUGAUGAGGAGGCUCGUGAUUAUAUGGGGACCACCUGAAUAAUCCAGGACAAUCUUCCCAUCGCAAGAUCCUUAGCUUACACCUCCAAAGUCUUUUGUUAAAAAUUUUAUUUUAUUUCUUUAUUUGGCUGCACCAGGUCUUAGUUGUGGCAUGCAGAACCUAGUUCUCUGAUCAGGGAUUGAACCCAGAUCGCCUGCACUGAGAGCGUGGAGUCUUAACCACUGGACCAUCAGGGAAUCCCCCUCUCACGCUCCCUUUAAAAAAAUUAUUUAACUCUGGGCCAUAUUUAAAGUCUUUAUUGAAUUUGUUACAAUACUGCUUCUGUUUUACAUUUUGGUUUUUUGGUCCUGAGGCAUGUGGGAUCUUAGCUCCCUGACCAGGGAUCAAACCUGCACCCCCUGCAUUGAAAGGUGAAGUCUUAACCACUGGACCCCCCAGGGAAGUCCCUUCCAAGUCCUUUUUUUUUUUUUUUAACGUAUAUGAGGAAACAUCUUGUAGGUUUCUGGGAUGAGGAAGUGGACAUUUUGGAGAGGCCAUUUUCUUAUUGCAGGUGGAUUCUUUACCAACUGAGCUAUCAUGGAAGCCCUGUGUCUCCUUAGUAGUUAACAAAGUAUCUUCAUUAUCUCAUAAUCCACAGGCGUCUUUGUUGUUGUUUAGUCACUAAGACAUGUCUGACUCUUUAAAACCCCAUGGAGUGUAGUCCAUCAGUCUCCUCUGUCCAAGGCAAGAGUAGUGUAGUGGGUUGCCAUUUCCUUUUCCAGGGAGAAGGAAUUUCCAAUCCAAGGAUUGAAUCUGUGUCUCCUGCAUUGGCAGGCAGGUUCUUUAUGGACUGAGCCACCCUGAGAUUUGUCAUCAUAUUCUCUGUUUUCAGUGACAUAUUCCUGAGGGGCAGAGAAGAAUACUGUGCUUGAUGGUUUGUGGAAUUUCCCAAAGCCUAAUGGGGAGCCGGGCGGUCUGAGUGGAUCACUGUUAACUGGCCAGCCCUCCCCGGCUGUUAUCUGACCAGGCAGCAAAGAUGGGACGGAUGGGCAUCCUGAAGUCCCAUCACCUCUGCCAGCCUUGCCUGUGGGGCCCACGGGGAAACCCAGGUCUUGUCAGUUUCCUUGUCUGUGGAAUAAGCUGGUUGACAGGAGUUUGAAAGUGUCUCUGUUUUCCUCAAACGCUUGUCUGCUAUUUAUGGUCACAAUCCUGGGCUCAUGCAAUAUCUCGACCACACACCAGGGGGAAGCAUUGGCUAAAGUGUUGAGAAGUCCACAUUGGCUAGACUCUAGGUGGCAAGUUUAUUUUGGUUUGUUUGAGCAAAUAUUGGUGAUGAGGAUCGCAGCAGAGUGAAGGCUGUUUAUCUCUUUAGAGUAUGAGAGUUGCUUAAUGUCAUAGUUUGUUUGGACUGGAGUCUCCCUUAACCUUCGCAGAGGGGCACGUGAGUUGGAGGACAGGCGGAG
ensembl:lncRNA